GUGCUGGCUUUGUGAGCACAUGUGCUAAAACUGGAAGAUUAGCAUGGCCCCUGCACAAGGAAGGCAUACAACUUUGUGAAGUGUUCUGUAUUUUU
rnacentral:snRNA from 1 species